rnacentral:rRNA from 1 species
CAGCAGCCACGGGAAUACGUAGGUGGCAAGCGUUGUCCGGAAUUAUUGGGCGUAAAGGGCUCGCAGGCGGUUUCUUAAGUCUGAUGUGGAAGCCCCCGGCUCAACCGGGGAGGGUCAUUGGAAACUGGGAAACUUGAGUGCAGAAGAGGAGAGUGGAAUUCCACGUGUAGCGGUGAAAUGCGUAGAGAUGUGGAGGAACACCAGUGGCGAAGGCGACUCUCUGGUCUGUAACUGACGCUGAGGAGCGAAAGCGUGGGGAGCGAACAGGAUUAGAUACCCCCGUAGUCCCUGUCUCUUAUAC